UCGCGAAGGCGACGGCGCCGGUCCCGAAGGCGGCGCGGCGGCGCGCGGCCGGUUGGGAUUUCAGAAGAGGACUAAAUCUCUCCAGUCACCGCAGGGCCUGAAUACACCAGUCAGUGUCUCCAGCCUCUAGCCAGGACCAGCAGAGGAAUGGCCAGGCAUCAUGUGACCCAGUGGAAUGCUGCAAGCAGGUACCGUGGAUAUUUGGGGCGGACAAUUCUUCGUUGCAUACUGUGGGAUGCUGACCAGUCCCCCUGGCCUUGUCCGCUGGAUACUAACAACAACAUCCUGCCUCUGGGUGUGACAACCUGUCUCCAGAUGUUGCCCAAUGUCUCCCAGGGGCAAAAGCAUGAAUCGUAUUCAUUGCUAGCACAGCAAUGAAAAUAAAUGAGCUACAAUUACAAAAGCAAAAUAUAGAUGAAUCUUUAAAGAUGAUAUCAAGUAAAAGAAGUCCAACACAAAAAUGAUGGUAGAAGUUCACAAAUAGGCAAAACUAAUCUAUGGUGUUAAAAGACAGGGCGGCAGGCCCUGGCUGGGUAGCCAGCUAUCCGGAGUGGCGUCCCA